AUGAAUGGCCAAACAAAUGGGCAUGUAACAAUUUGUGCAUACCAGGAGGAGAGCCUUGAUGUCAAUCUCGGUGAACUUGAUCCCGUCCUCUUCGCCGGCAUCUGCGGGCGACUGCCACCGAAUCGUCGCCAGCAUCACGCUCAGCAGGUCGUUCCCUUCCAUCUCUCCGGCAUGCUGGCCCCUCUCGCUGAUGAAGCCGUCCAUCAUGCGGUCGUAGCGGCGGUGGAGGCGCUUCAUCUUGCCGACGACGCCCUGCGGGUCGAGCCAGCGGAGCGCCGGCACAAAGUCGCCGAUGUUGAAGACGCCGGCGAGCUGCAUGAGCUCCACGACCAUGUCCUUGAACUCCCUGGCGCCCUCGCCGACGCCGUCCCCGAAGACGCGCCUGCCGACGGCGGCCAGCGCGAGGGCGUUGGUGGCGCAGACGUUGGCCUCCUGGCCGACGGCCAGGCCCGCGGGCGAGUCCGAGGAGGAGAGCAGGCGGGUGACCAUGAGGCGGGCCUCGUCCUGGCGGACCUGGCGGAGGGCGUCGAGGGCGCGGGCGGAGAAGAGGUGUUGCGCGCAGAGCUUGCGGAGGGCGCGCCAGCGGGCGCCGUAGGGCGCGAAGACGAGGUCCUGGUAGUUGUAGGCGACGUGCUCGGCGCCGGAGUUGGGCGGGCGGUCGCUGAAGUUGGCGUCGUGGGCGCGGAGGAAGCUGCCGGCGACCUUGGCGGAGGCGGCGACGACGACCUCGGCGCUGCCGAAGCGGAGGCGGAAGAGGGGCCCGUGGUGGCGCGCGAGGGCCGCCAUGGUGUGGUGCGGCUUGUCGCCCAGCUGCGGCAGGUUGCCCAGCACUGGCCACCCCCUCGGCCCCGGCGGCAGCGGCAGCUUCGGCUUCCUGGCUCCGCUGCCAUGGCCGCGGAGGUGCCAGACGGUGGCGGCGACGACGGCGACGAGGGAGGCGAGGAGGAGGAGGAGCAGGUCGUGAUCCAUGGCUGCUAG
rnacentral:rRNA from 1 species